AUUGAACGCUGGCGGCAGGCUUAACACAUGCAAGUCGAGCGAGCGGCGGACGGGUGAGUAAUGUCUGGGAAACUGCCUGCUGGAGGGGGAUAACUACUGGAAACGGUAGCUAAUACCGCAUACCAUCAGAUGUGCCCAGCUGGAAUUAGCUAGUAGGGGGGGUAAUGGCUCACCUAGGCGACGAACCCUAGCUGGUCUGAGAGGAUGACCAGCCAACCUGGAGCUGAGCCACGUACCGGACGCCUACGGGAGGCAGCAGUGGGGAAUAUUGCACAAUGGGCGCAAGCCGUAUGCAGCCAUGCCGCGUGUGUGAAGAAGGCCUUCGGGUUGUAAAGCACUUUCAGCGAGGAGGCGUUACUCGCAGAAGAAGCACCGGCUAACUCCGUGCCAGCAGCCGCGGUAAUUC
rnacentral:rRNA from 1 species